UCGAGAAUUCUACCAGACCAGACUGGGAUAGGGGGAGUGGCGGAUUUUGACACCGUGUUUCCGCACAGUUUAUAGAAUUAUAGGGCUCCCCCUAGCCCCAGGAGUGGGAGGGGUUUGCAUUGAUGAUGAGACAAGUAUCUCCCACAUUGGAUGGAAUUGCGAAUAUCGUGUGUAUCUAGAAGUUCGGAUCGAAUAGUGAUUAUUAACCAAUUUUUCAUCGUGUAAAUUUCCAGCAUCGUUCCAACACCAAUUCCAUUCUCCAUGACGUGCUCCUGCAAAUUUGCCCAUUAUAUUUUGAAAUUGUCAGUGUCUUCUUGGCACCUAAGCUUCACCUGAAAAUUUUCUCAUUAUAUUUUGGACUGGGAAAUACUUGUCGCAUGAUCAAUUCAAAAUCCUUGCACACCUAGGCCGUGGGGAGCCCUAUAAUUCUAUCAACUGUGCGGAAACACGGUGGCAAAAUUGCCAAAUUUUCCUAACUGUCUACAUAAACCCCUUUAAAAGCUCAACCAUAUGCUGAUUGAUAGUAUGUAUGAAUGAACAUAUUUAUCUAGAUUGUUGUUAAACGUGUUAUGCAGUAUUUUAGGGUAUAUUUCAUUCCAAGAUUUCCAAUUUAACCUGUUUAUUUAAUUUUAGAACAAACGUAAGCUUAUUUGACAGAUAGAAUGCUUGUGGUGCGAUACGAAACUUUAAUAUUGUAAUACAACUGUAGCCGUAAUAAAUACAUUAGUCAAUUUUUAGCAA